rnacentral:lncRNA from 1 species
AAUUGUGGUGGUUGAUUUUCAAGGCUAAUGAGAAGUUAGGGAGGGGAGAAUUGGAACAGGUCAUGUUAAAAUGAUAUUAAUCUAAAACUCUUUUUCUUAAUGUGAUUGAUCUCUUUUUUUUCUCUUGAAUAAACACUCUUGGGAUUGACUAAAGUCUUUGGUUAAUUUCCAGAAUUCUAAAACAUUAAUUCUGACAUUUUUGCCACUGUUCUUAUUGCUUUUAUGAUGAUGAUGUAUCAAAAUGAUUUGUGUGCUUAACGUGUCAAAAUGGAGUCAUUCAUGUCAAGCAGCUUUGAGACCACAGUGAAGUUGUUCUUCCUUUCCUCAAAGAGAUAAAUAUGUAAUGACCUGAGGGGAUAACAUCCACUGUUGCCUGUACCACCUGAGACCUAAAAAGAGCAAAUGGAAACUUAAAGGCAGCUGAUAUAAUGAGAUGAGAAUAGAAUCAUCUGGGAAGAUUGUAAAAGCAGCUAGGACUUGGCCUUCUUUAAGACAUCUUCUCA